rnacentral:rRNA from 1 species
UACGUAGGGUGCAAGCGUUAAUCGGAAUUACUGGGCGUAAAGCGUGCGCAGGCGGUGAUGUAAGACAGUUGUGAAAUCCCCGGGCUCAACCUGGGAACUGCAUCUGUGACUGCAUCGCUGGAGUGCGGCAGAGGAGACUGGAAUUCCUGGUGUAGCAGUGAAAUGCGUAGAUAUCAGGAGGAACACCGAUGGCGAAGGCAGGUCUCUGGGCUGACACUGACGCUCAUGCACGAAAGCGUGGGGAGCAAACAGG